AUGACCUUGUUUACUUGUUCACAUGCUAAAUCUGACUUUUGGAAAGCCAAGUAUGACCAUGAAGCCGCCAAGAAGGCUAGAGCCACCACCAUAAACGCCAAGAAAAUGACCCGGAGGUCCAAGAAGAAAAAGAGCACCGCUAAGGACCUGUUAAAACUUGAUGAUAUUUCUGAGUCAGAGGACGACACGGGGGCCAGUCAGGCCGUGGAAGAAGAGCAACAUAAGAGCCGCCGUCAGGCCCAGAACGACAAUGAACCGCCUUCCGUUCUUCAACAAACUCCUCAAAACGCCAGAAUGAGGAGGUGUCUCGCUCUUCUGGCGACUCAUCUCAAACUCAAUUUCCGGCUUUCAAGACUACCCCUGGUGGCCAAGCCAAGUCCAAGAAGGCCAAAGUAA
rnacentral:rRNA from 1 species